rnacentral:rRNA from 1 species
AGUGAACGCUGGCGGUAGGCCUAACACAUGCAAGUCGAACGGCAGCACAGUAAAAGCUUGCUCUUACGGGUGGCGAGUGGCGGACGGGUGAGGAAUACAUCGGAAUCUACUUUUUCGUGGGGGAUAACGUAGGGAAACUUACGCUAAUACCGCAUACGACCUACGGGUGAAAGCAGGGGAUCUUCGGACCUUGCGCGAUUGAAUGAGCCGAUGUCGGAUUAGCUAGUUGGCGGGGUAAAGGCCCACCAAGGCGACGAUCCGUAGCUGGUCUGAGAGGAUGGUCAGCCACACUGGAACUGAGACACGGUCCAGACUCCUACGGGAGGCAGCAGUGGGGAAUAUUGGACAAUGGGCGCAAGCCUGAUCCAGCCAUACCGCGUGGGUGAAGAAGGCCUUCGGGUUGUAAAGCCCUUUUGUUGGGAAAGAAAAGCAGCAGGUUAAUACCCCGCUGUUCUGACGGUACCCAAAGAAUAAGCACCGGCUAACUUCGUG